GACGAACGCUGGCGGCGUGCUUAACACAUGCAAGUCGAACGGAAAGGCCCUGCUUUUGUGGGGUGCUCGAGUGGCGAACGGGUGAGUAACACGUGAGUAACCUGCCCUUGACUUUGGGAUAACUUCAGGAAACUGGGGCUAAUACCGGAUAGGAGCUCCUGCUGUAUGGUGGGGGUUGGAAAGUUUCGGCGGGUGGGGAUGGACUCGCGGCUUAUCAGCUUGUUGGUGGGGUAGUGGCUUACCAAGGCUUUGACGGGUAGCCGGCCUGAGAGGGUGACCGGCCACAUUGGGACUGAGAGACGGCCCAGAGUCCUACGGGAGGCAGCAGGGGGAAAUAUUGCACAAUGGGCGGAAGCCUGAUGCAGCAACGCCGCGUGCGGGAUGACGGCCUGCGGGUUGUAAACCGCUUUCGCCUGUGACGAAGCGUGAGUGACGGUAAUGGGUAAAGAAGCACCGGCUAACUACGUG
rnacentral:rRNA from 1 species